GACGUAGGGGACGAGCGUUGUCCGGAUUCAUUGGGCGUAAAGCGCGCGUAGGCGGUUCGGUAAGUCGGGUGUGAAAACACGAGGCUCAACCUCGUGCGUACAUCCGAUACUGCCGGACUAGAGGUAGGUAGGGGAGAUCGGAAUUCCUGGUGUAGCGGUGAAAUGCGCAGAUAUCAGGAGGAACACCGGUGGCGAAGGCGGAUCUCUGGGCCUUACCUGACGCUCAGGCGCGAAAGCUAGGGGAGCGAACAGG
rnacentral:rRNA from 1 species